AUUGAACGCUGGCGGCAUGCUUUACACAUGCAAGUCGAGCGAGUGGCGGACGGGUGAGUAAUAUCUGGGAACCUGCCCGAUGGCGGGGGAUAACUACUCGAAAGGGUGGCUAAUACCGCAUACCAUUGGAGCGGCCCAGAUCGGAUUAGCUAGUUGGUGGGGUAAAGGCUCACCAAGGCAACGAUCCCUAGCUGGUUUGAGAGGAUGACCAGCCAAACUGGAACUGAGACACGGCCCAGACUCCUACGGGAGGCAGCAGUGGGGAAUAUUGCACAAUGGGGGAAAGCCUGAUGCAGCCAUCCCGCGUGUAUGAUGAAGGCCUUAGGGUUGUAAAGUACUUUCAGUCGGGAGGCGUUACCCGCAGAAGAAGCACCGGCUAACUCCGUGCCAGCAGCCGCGGUAAUAC
rnacentral:rRNA from 1 species